rnacentral:piRNA from 1 species
CAGGUGAGUGAUCUUGGACAAAGUCC